UUAGAGGAAAUUGGUGAUACCUGCAGAGUCCAAAAAAAAAAAAAAAGCAAGUUUUUUUUUUAUGAGAAAAAUCUUUCAUAAUAAUUUGUAAACUAAUUUGUAAGACAUAACUAUUUCAUUUAGACACAAAAAAAUGUUAUAAAUAUUUUUAUAGCAAAAUUAAUGAUUUUUUGGUUUUCAAAAUCAAAUUCUGCUUGAGUUUUAGCAUUUAUACAGAAGAAAUGGCAAGUGAAGAAGACAAGAAAUUAACAGGAGAAAUAAGGAGAGGAUUUACCAGAUUUUUAAAGAUUUUUUUACCAGGGUGGCAAAGCUUGAUGAAUAGGUGGCUGUCGGAUGCAGACUACUUACUGGCUUUCAACAAGGACUGGAGUUUCUUCGACCCCCUCCAAUAAACAAGACGUCUAAGUUGAUUGGGAAGAUUAUUAAAGCCAAUGAAACAACGAAGUGAAAGUCAUUCCUUGAUGCUGGUUGUAUUAACAGUCAUGACACUGCAAAAUAUGAGCUAGCGCAUAAAACUUCAGAUUCUGCAUCACUUGCUUCCUUCCUGUGAAUCGAAGCAUGCACAUGCCUACGUGGACUACACGAUCAUUUGAUUGAAGUCCAAAGCUUACUGAAUGAUCUUGAAAGCCUCAUGGAGGAUGCCACAGUUGCUUUGCAAACGACAAAUGAACAUUUAUCUCCUCUGUCGGACGAGGAAUUUGUUGAUGAACUGGAGCCAUAAGAAAGUAGUGGUGAAGUAGGUUUGGUGCUUCAACUCUUUCUAUUUGUUGUAAAUGAUAUGAUAUGUCGCUUCUUUACUCUAUUCAUCUUCCAUUAGUGCAGGUACAUUUUCAUUUACCCGCAUAGCAAAUGCCAGUGGUUAUUUUUUCCUUCUUUGGCAGUAUUUAAGUCUUUGCCUGGUGCAGAAAAUGUCUUCCUUUUUGUCCUUCCUACUUAAACCCCUUUCUAUUUAGGGCAGAUUCUUGUUAAUUAUUACCAAUUUCAGCGCAUCAACUCGCCCACAAAAUUUUUGUGAAUUUGUUAUUUCCCAAUGUCAUUAUGCUGGCAAAACUUUAAUGAUUGAAAUAACCUUUUUAAUGACGGAACUGACCUUGCACUGGACCACCUAUCCAUGAACCGCAAAACAUCCAACAAGAAUAGUGGCUUAAAGGCGAGGCAUUCAAAUUUUAGAAACUUAUUGUGUAUCUAUUUUUUGCUAGAGAAAUAUCCAGUUGUUAUUGUUAUGAUCAUUCAUACCAGAGGCAGGAGAGCUGUACUCUUUUUUUUUUCUCUUAAUGGUAUUUUUUUUUUAUAUCUUUCUGCCUGCUGCAAUUGGCUAUUAAAACAUAACUUGUCUUGCUGAAUUCGUUUUUUCCUUAAGUAUGAAAUUUUAUUUGAUCUCAUCUUCACGGACCUGAAGUGACAGAUUAUGCUGCCCUUAUGGGGAUGAUUUAUAGUAUGGUGAAGCGGGACCAUGUGAUGCAGGUAAAUGGGCUGCUCAACAUGUAUUGAAAUACCUUUCAUAUGGAGAGAAACCAUUCCAUCAAUAGAGAUAGGGCCCUGGGACGAUUUCUUUUUCUUUUAUUUUGUUGUUUUUUUAUAGAACAGUGACAAAAUAUCACCCUUCUACGGCAGUAGAAGAUUGUUACUUCUCUAAAUCUCAAGUCAUCAUCAGGAGAAUUAAAGAGUUAUUGCCUAAUGUGGUCUUUGCGAUCUUACGUGAAUGAUCAUAGUAUUCAUCUAGCUUGGAAACUUGCUCCUUGAAAUUUAAUUUAUUAUUUUUUUAGAGAAUCCAGGGUUGUUUAGACAGGAAAAUAGAAUUAUUUUGAAUUAAGCCCUGCUUUGCUAUAUAUGUUUGAUACUUUGUAGCUUAGAAAUAUGCCAUCCUAUUAUAUAGUGUAUAAUAAAUAAUUCUAAGUUUUGAUUGAUUCUAUUGUCCAAGAUUAGGUGCUUUAGUAGGGACUCAGCCCGGAACAUCCGAAGGCAGCCCCCACUUGCUAUUUAAACCAUGAACUAUUUCAAUCAGUAUCAAAGCCUGAAUGGUUAACGAAGGCAGUAAAAAAGUGACUGCCAAAAGAAAAAGUUUACUUCAGUUAAAAACCAUAGUACAUAUGAAUUAGACCCCAAUAAAGAGUAUUGAUUAUAUCUUUAGACCACCAACAAAACUCUUUUAUUUCUCUUACAUUUGAUCAUUUUAUGCGCAACUGCUAACAACAAUU